rnacentral:rRNA from 1 species
UACGGAGGGUGCAAGCGUUGUCCGGAUUCAUUGGGUUUAAAGGGUGCGUAGGCGGUCUUGUAAGUCAGUGGUGAAAUCUCAGAGCUCAACUCCGAAUGUGCCAAUGAUACUGCAGGACUUGAGAGCAGUCGAGGUAGCUGGAAUGUGUAGUGUAGCGGUGAAAUGCAUAGAGAUUACACAGAACACCAAUUGCGAAGGCAAGUUACUAGACUGUUUCAGACGCUGAUGCACGAAAGUGUGGGUAGCGAACAGG